AUUGAACGCUGGCGGCAUGCCUUACACAUGCAAGUCGAACGGUAACAGGUUAAGCUGCCGAGUGGCGAACGGGUGAGUAAUGUAUCGGAACGUGCCCAGUCGUGGGGGAUAACUGCUCGAAAGAGCAGCUAAUACCGCAUACGGCCUGAGGGUGAAAGCGGGGGAUCGCAAGACCUCGCGCGAUUGGAGCGGCCGAUAUCAGAUUAGGUAGUUGGUGAGGUAAAGGCUCACCAAGCCGACGAUCUGUAGCUGGUCUGAGAGGACGACCAGCCACACUGGGACUGAGACACGGCCCAGACUCCUACGGGAGGCAGCAGUGGGGAAUUUUGGACAAUGGGCGCAAGCCUGAUCCAGCCAUGCCGCGUGCGGGAAGAAGGCCUUCGGGUUGUAAACCGCUUUUGUCAGGGAAGAAAAGGUUCUGGCUAAUACCUGGGACUCAUGACGGUACCUGAAGAAUAAGCACCGGCUAACUACGUG
rnacentral:rRNA from 1 species